rnacentral:rRNA from 1 species
UACGUAGGGUGCAAGCGUUGUCCGGAAUUAUUGGGCGUAAAGAGCUCGUAGGCGGUUUGUCGCGUCUGCUGUGAAAACCCGAGGCUCAACCUCGGGCCUGCAGUCGAUACGGGCAAACUAGAGUACUGCAGGGGAGACUGGAAUUCCUGGUGUAGCGGUGAAAUGCGCAGAUAUCAGGAGGAACACCGGUGGCGAAGGCGGGUCUCUGGGCAGUAACUGACGCUGGAGGAAGCGAAAGCGUGGGGAGCGAACAGG